rnacentral:snRNA from 1 species
GUGCUCAGUUUGGCAGCAUGUAUAAUAAAAUUGGAACGAUACAGAGAUUAGCAUGGCGCCUUCGCAAGGAUGACACGCAAAUUCAUGAAGUGUUCCAUAUUUUU